rnacentral:piRNA from 1 species
UAAGGAAACCAAAAUCCUAGAGUUCUCG